rnacentral:rRNA from 1 species
AGGACGAACGCUGGCGGCGUGCUUAACACAUGCAAGUCGAGCGGAAAGGCCCUUCGGGGUACUCGAGCGGCGAACGGGUGAGUAACACGUGAGCAAUCUGCCCUUAGCUUCGGGAUAGCCCCGGGAAACCGGGAUUAAUACCGAAUACGACCUCGGCCGACAUCGGCCUUGGUGGAAAGUUUUUCGGCUAGGGAUGAACUCGCGGCCUAUCAGCUUGUUGGUGGGUAAUAGCCUACCAAGGCGACGACGGGUAG